GCCUCAGUUUCCUCCACUGAAGAAUGGGAGGAGGCUGGUCAUUGAGUCUUCAAGGCUAGUGGAAAGAGCACUGGACUUGGAGGCAGAAAGACCCAACUUGCGUCCUGGC
ensembl:miRNA